rnacentral:rRNA from 1 species
GACGUAGGGGGCAAACGUUGUUCGGAAUUACUGGGCGUAAAGCGCGUGUAGGCUGCUCUGCAAGUCGGAUGUGAAAGCCCUGGGCUCAACCUAGGAAGUGCACUCGAAACUGCAGAGCUUGAGUCCUGGAGAGGAAGGCGGAAUUCUCGGUGUAGAGGUGAAAUUCGUAGAUAUCGAGAGGAACACCGGUGGCGAAGGCGGCCUUCUGGACAGUGACUGACGCUGAGACGCGAAAGCUAGGGGAGCAAACAGG